UCCUACGGGAGGCAGCAGUGGGGAAUUUUGGACAAUGGGGGCAACCCUGAUCCAGCCAUUCCGCGUGAGUGAAGAAGGCCUUCGGGUUGUAAAGCUCUUUCGGCAGGAACGAAACGGCGGGCUCUAACAUAGCCUGUUAAUGACGGUACCUGAAGAAGAAGCACCGGCUAACUACGUGCCAGCAGCCGCGAUAAUA
rnacentral:rRNA from 1 species